rnacentral:lncRNA from 1 species
UCCCAUCCGUUUUAAAUCCUUAAACCCCAAACGGAUAAAACCAUUCACUCCAUCUUUAUCAAUCUCCUACAGUAGCAUUUGCAGGCCGACUGGGUAGCAAAUGCAUGUGGCGUGCAACAAAUUUGACAAUUAAGGAUGCUCAUAGAUGUUAGAAUCAAAUGUCGCUUUAAAGUUUCAUGAAAUCAAUCCGACUAAAGUAUUCAUGUCAAUAUAAACUUAAAGUUUCCAAAAAUACAAGAAAUAAUGAAUUAAGAUUAGAGAACCUACUAACCAACUUUAUCGGUGUUUAAGAAGCAAGAUGACAAGACUCUAAAGGCAAAGACAGAAGUUGCGUAACAGAAAAAUCUCUGGUAAUAAUAAAUUAUUCGCAUAGCACGAGAAAUACGUAAUGCACGUUUCCCCGACUACAUUCAAUUGGUUGUUCCAUAUCUGAAGACUCGACUUCCAACUAAAUCUCAUAUACCACAUAUGUAGGAUUUAUACAGAGGCAUGAGUAUUGGAAACCUCCUCACUUUUAUAAUUUNNNNN